rnacentral:rRNA from 1 species
CACGCAGGCGGAUUGAUAAGUCAGGGGUGAAAUCCCGGGGCUCAACCUCGGAAUUGCCUUUGAUACUGUCUGUCUUGAGUUCGGGAGAGGUUGGCGGAAUUCCUAGUGUAGAGGUGAAAUUCGUAGAUAUUAGGAAGAACACCAGUGGCGAAGGCGGCCAACUGGCCCGAUACUGACGCUCAUGUGCGAAAGCGUGGGGAGCAAACAGGAUUAGAUACCCUGGUAGUCCACGCCGUAAACUAUGGAUGCUAGCCGUUGGGAAGCUUGCUUCUCAGUGGCGCAGCUAACGUCUUAAGCAUCCCGCCUGGGGAGUACGGUCGCAAGAUUAAA